UGACCUUGAGCAAUGUUUCUUAGCCAUGUU
rnacentral:piRNA from 2 species